GACGAACGCUGGCGGCGUGCCUAAUACAUGCAAGUUGAGCGCUGAAGGUUGGUACUUGUACCAACUGGAUGAGCAGCGAACGGGUGAGUAACGCGUGGGGAAUCUGCCUUUGAGCGGGGGACAACAUUUGGAAACGAAUGCUAAUACCGCAUAAAAACUUUAAACACAAGUUUUAAGUUUGAAAGAUGCAAUUGCAUCACUCAAAGAUGAUCCCGCGUUGUAUUAGCUAGUUGGUGAGGUAAAGGCUCACCAAGGCGAUGAUACAUAGCCGACCUGAGAGGGUGAUCGGCCACAUUGGGACUGAGACACGGCCCAAACUCCUACGGGAGGCAGCAGUAGGGAAUCUUCGGCAAUGGACGAAAGUCUGACCGAGCAACGCCGCGCGAGUGAAGAAGGUUUUCGGAUCGUAAAACUCUGUUGGUAGAGAAGAACGUUGGUGAGAGUGGAAAGCUCAUCAAGUGACGGUAACUACCCAGAAAGGGACGGCUAACUACGU
rnacentral:rRNA from 1 species